rnacentral:snRNA from 1 species
AGCGCGUGGGUUGGCGGUCAACGAAUGCACAUCUUGCCUUUUCCUAGAUUCACGUGCCCGGGCCGUCGACCACUACGAAGCGCUUUAAUAAUUUCUGGAAUCUCAGCAACUAGCUGCAAU